CAGGGAUUGCCUCAGUAACGGCGAGUGAAGCGGCAACAGCUCAAAUUUGAAAUCUGACCCCCCCGGGGCCUGAGUUGUAAUUUGUAGAGGGUGCUUCGGGCGCGGCGCCGGUCUAAGUUUCUUGGAACAGAACGUCGCAGAGGGUGAGAAUCCCGUACGUGACCGGUGACCAAGCCCGUGUGAAGCCCCUUCGACGAGUCGAGUUGUUUGGGAAUGCAGCUCAAAAUGGGUGGUAAAUUCCAUCUAAAGCUAAAUAUUGGCCAGAGACCGAUAGCGGACAAGUAGAGUGAUCGAAAGAUGAAAAGCACUUUGGAAAGAGAGUUAAACAGUACGUGAAAUUGUUGAAAGGGAAGCGCUUGCGACCAGACCGGUCCGGGGGCGAUCAGCCGCUGCUCGUCAGCGGUGCACUCGCCUCCGAUCCGGCCAGCAUCGGUUUGGGCGGCGGGAUAAAAGUCCCGGGAAUGUAGCUUCCCUCGGGGAGUCUUAUAGCCCGGGUCGCAAUGCCGCCCGCCUGGACCGAGGACCGCGCUUCGGCUAGGAUGCUGGCGUAAUGGUCGCAAGCGACCCGUCUUGAAACACGGACCAAGGAGUCUAACAUCUAUGCGAGUGUUUGGGUGUCAAACCCAGGCGCGGAAUGAAAGUGAACGGAGGUGGGAACCCGUCAGACGGCGCACCAUCGACCGAUCCUGAUGUCUUCGGAUGGAUUUGAGUAUGAGCAUAGCUGUUGGGACCCGAAAGAUGGUGAACUAUGCCCGGAUAGGGUGAAGCCAGAGGAAACUCUGGUGGAGGCUCGCAGCGGUUCUGACGUGCAAAUCGAUCGUCAAAUCUAGGCAUAGGGGCGAAAGACCAAUCGAGCCAUCUAG
rnacentral:rRNA from 1 species